rnacentral:miRNA from 1 species
CAUUCAACCUCGUUCCCAGGGCUUUUCUCCUUUUCCCGCCUUCCCAAUGACAAAAAGGGAAAAGCCCUGGGAACGAGGUUGA